rnacentral:tRNA from 1 species
CGCGGGGUGGAGCAGUUUGGUAGCUCGUCGGGCUCAUAACCCGAAGGUCGGGGGUUCAAAUCCCUCCCCCGCAA